CUUCAGAGUCUGAAAGGUCUUCCUGGACACUGAAAUCAUCUUAUCCCUGUAAGAUGUUAGCUUGUCACAACUUGCAGAUGAUGGUCUCCCUUUUGCUGCAAUGUGUUCUGGUGUGUUCGGAUUUUUCUGCCAGCCUCCGUUCCCCUUAUCUCCCUUGGAU
rnacentral:lncRNA from 1 species